GACGAUAUAUUUUACAUAGCCAUGUACUACGCAAUUCUGGUCACAAUGUCCUCGCAAGAGACAUGAGAUGUUGCUCAACUGCUUUCUUUUUUUUUAUUUAGUUUAAAAUGUCAUGGCCUGGUCAUAAAUUAUUCUCUAUCGGUUUCUGUGUAAAUCUGUUAACAGUCAAUCAACAAUUAUUUGCAGCUUUCUUCAUAAGCCUCGCACACUGCUACUGCGCCAAUACGUGCGCGGCGGAUUAUGGGAACGCUCUCAAAACAUUUGAAGUUACAGCGCAGAUCUGCCCCAUAAUGAAGACUUUUCUAAACUGUAUCGCGCAAACGUGCCAGGUAGAUGUCUCGAUAUAUUACCCACAGUUGGAGAAUGAUAUGAAGGCUGCUGGCGUUUAUUGUGAUUUUAACGCCGCCUCAAGGUCUGUGUCCCUCAGCCUCCUCACUGUGUGUGGUUCCGCGCUGCUGACUGCUUACAGAAUCUUCAGCAUGUGAUCCUCUCAGUCUGUGUGACAAAACAGUGAACUAUUUUAUCAUUUCUGUAACAUUAUCUAGCCUCGCAUAUUAGGUUUGUCAGCUAGCAUAUUUCUUGCGUGAAUAGUCCUCAUGCACAACUUUGUUGGUUCUACUUUAGUUCCCUUGUCAUCUAGAUGGGUAGCCUGAAUUCUAAUGAGCAAUUUUUAACCAUUGACAUCUGAAAAAGAAUGUGACAGUCACAAAUGCGAGAAAUAGUUAAGCUAACUGUUUUACUUUAUGCUUCCAUGAAGAAAGAACUUGCCAUGACUGAAUGUACUGCCUUGUAUAUCUCAAUUAUUUUGUUUUAUUUCUUCGCUUACAUUUGAUGACUCACGAGGUGAGUUUAUACGUAAAAUAACCAUUUUGGUGUUUGGUAAUGGAGUCUCCCUAGUGCCAUGCUGCUCACUGCUUACAGAACCUUCAACAUCAAGUCCUGUCUACCUGUAUGGCAACAAUGAACUUGCUGUGGGCUGUACUAUUAUUUUCUGUCAUUGUAAAUGCCACUUACACCUUGGCUGUUUCUCAAGUUGUCAACAAAUACAUUUAAUAAAGUAUUUCUCU